UACGUAGGGGGCAAGCGUUGUCCGGAUUUAUUGGGCGUAAAGAGCGUGUAGGCGGCCGUACAGGUCAGCUGUGAAAACUCGAGGCUCAACCUCGAGACGUCGGUUGAAACCGUACGGCUAGAGUCCGGAAGAGGAGAGUGGAAUUCCCGGUGUAGCGGUGAAAUGCGCAGAUAUCGGGAAGAACACCCGUGGCGAAGGCGGCUCUCUGGGACGGUACUGACGCGUGAGACGCGAAAAGCGUGGGGAGCGAACAGG
rnacentral:rRNA from 1 species